ensembl:lncRNA HOXB-AS4 HOXB cluster antisense RNA 4
CCUUAAGACCCAAGCAAAGCAGGCACUGCGCUCUGACUGCCGUCUUCCUGGUUCCCCUUCCCUCUCCUGCCCUGACUUUGCAGCUGCCUCUCUGCAACAAGAGAGGAGUCAAGAGGACCACUCAGUUUAGGGAAGAAGUUAGAGGAAGAAGAACACUUGGGCUGAUGGCUUGUGCUCUACAAGGCGGCCAGACCUUUGCCCAGCCCUGCCCGUUUAUUGCCGGGUACUUGCUGGAAGGGGACAGAAGAUAAGACUCGGGGUGACUCCCAAGGCCUGAAGGGGGCUGAUUGGGCCGGGGGCUCCCAGAGGAUAAACCUAGGGGCCGGUCGGUCUUCCUCGGCGUGGAAGUGAGAGCCACGCGGCGUGGCGGAGCUCCACCACCGUCUCCUUAUCUCUUUAAAGCCUCAAAAUCAAACAAAACCACUACUACCCAGGCCUCAAGUUUCCACAGUUUUUGUCUGCUCUGGACCGUUUACUUUUUUUGAAAAAAGAGAACUUGGUGGAAUCCAAAUUCUCUACUAGGCCUCCGAACCAAAACGAAGGAAAAUCCGUUUUCUUCUUGGGCU